rnacentral:lncRNA from 10 species
GAAUUCUUCUAGGGUUUGCAUAAAUAAAAAAAUUCAUGGAGCAGGUUCCUGUACUAAGGCUGCUUGGAAAAUUCAUGGACUUUUUUGGGAAAGCAAUCUUUUUUUUUUCUAAAUAAGGAGAAAAUACCAGAAUGAUUAAUCCAGGUGAGGUCUCACAUAAUCUGUGAAUUAAUUCUUUCCCAUUUCUCUUUUAUUUGGUAGUAGUGUGGACUUGUUGAUAACAUGAAUUCAAGUCUGGAUUCCUUUUGCAUUCUGCCACAAAUAUCCUCUACUAAAUAAAAGGUUUUCAGUGGUGUCUGAGCCCCUUUUCAUUUCAUGUAAAAUGACAGGAUUGGAUUGGAUGACUCGAGGUCCCUUCCACAUCAGCUCUCCCGUCAUGCCAGAAUUAUCCACCAUUGCACCACCCCUUCACUCCUGGCCCUGACCCUAAAAACAAAGGGGAUUUGUCAGAAAGGGCAGGGAUUUAUCAGUGUUUUUCUUGUGAGAUAACAUGCACAGCUGUAGAAAACCUUCACUAUUCUCCACCAUCUGUGGUUGGAAAAACUUGAUCAGUAGUUAAGAUUUUUAAAAUUAAAAUAUCCCCUUAACCUGCUGUGAUAUGAUCUACAGUAACAAGCUAGCCUUUAGAAAUUCUCCUACAAUGGCCAGGUAGAGGAUUGGCUUGGUCAGAGCAGGGCACAGCUCCAUUCUGGCUGUUGACUCAGAGCCUCUCUCUAGGGUCCUCAGACAGCGUGCUGUCAAUCAACUUCAGCAGGAUCACUGACACUAGCCAUGAUUUAUUGGACUUAGCAUUCAUUAUGUCUUUUUUUUUCCCUUAUUCACUCAAUUUUUGCCCCAACUAGUUUUCAAGUUAGGUAACCACCAUAAACAGUUUGUAGUUUUUUCCUGUCAUACCUUAAAUUCCUUAAAAAUGCAAUUGUGAAGUAUUCGAUUUGUUCCAAGUACUAUACAAAUAUUCUUACAUGCUAUGAAUGUGUAAGCGUAACAUGCAAAUGUAGCUAUGUUAUGGUUACAAAUCUUAUAGAAAUAUCACUGCUGAGGUAUAAGAUGAGACUAAUACCAUAAAUAUAUGCCAUGACCCAAGCCAAGGAACCUCCUCUGGGCUCUUCCACCUUGUUAUUCUAACAUCACACUCCCAUCCCAACCUACUUCUGAAAUACCUCCCAAAUCCAUCCACAUUCCUCAUUUUCAAUGCUGCCAUUCUAGUUUCAGCAAUUAUCAUUUUUUGCCUGGACUACCCACUGGUCUGCUAACUGGUCUCUUACUGUAUCUCUACAAUCACGUCUCUGUUGCAUAAACUUUCUCAUGGCUUUCCAACACACUGGAAUAAAUUCAAACUACAAAGACCCCACCAGCCAGCCCAGUUGCCUCUCCACAUAUCCUAUUCCCUACCUGGGCUUACCUGCUCCCUCCACGUUCACAGGCUUCCUUCUGUUCCCGGGCUCGGCAAAAUGGCGCCUGCCUCAGGGACAUUGCCCACACCACAGUGUCCUCCAUGGCGGGCUUCUUCCCUUCACUCAGUCAUUGCUUCAGAGGGGCCCGUCCUGAUGAUUCUGCAGAAAGUUCUGUGCUCUCUGCUCACCCUCACAAGGUGAACACGCUGGGCCUGCCUCACCGGCUGCCAUGGCCCCAUCCCAGAGCAGCACCUGGCCAGGGCAGUGGCCAGCACACACUGUGGAGGGAAUGAAUGGGGGACAAAACCUAUCUCAUAGGAGUGUGGGGUCCAGCAAGGUCACGUCUGGGCAUCCAGUGCCCUCCCUGGCAACAGUGAGUACCACAUGAGUGGUGGGGGAGAAGUCAUCAAAGUCUUUCAUAGCUCACCUCCGACUCUCCCUAGAACUCUAGAAUCCCUUUUGUGUUCCUUUAAAGACAUUUUUUUUUCUCUUGAGAUGGAGUUUCACUCUUGUUGCCCAGGCUGGAGUGUAAUGGCGCGAUCUUUGCUCACUACAACAUCCGCCUCCUGGGUUCAAGCAAUUCUCCUAUCUCAGCCUCCUGAGUAGCUAGGAUUACAGGCGCCCGCCACUAUGCCUGGCUAAUUUUUGUAUUUUUAGUAGAGACGGGGUUUCACCAUGUUGGCCAGGCUGGUCUCGAACUGCUGAUCUCAGGUGAUCAGCCUGCCUUGGCCUCCCAAGGUGCUGGGAUUACAGGCAUGAGCCACUGCGCCCAGCCCCUUUAGAGACAUUUUAACAGAGAAGUCCUUCAGUCCCUCAAAUGCCCCACCUUCCUUUUUUACAGCCUUUUUCCUCUCCUGAGAAAUAACAGGAUGGUUCACCCAGGCAUGAGGGUCAGCCCCACCUCCCCCGUCUUUCUUUUCCAUCGGUUAUCAAGCCUGGUCUGUAUCACCCCUUGACAUCUCACAUAUCAAUCCCUCUUUCCAUAACCAGCAGGGCAUCUUCAUGACAGGUUUGGAACCCAAGCUACAGAAUCAGUUCCUAGUUCUACCCUUGGACAGUUAUGGGACGGUGAGUAACAGAUGGAAAAACUUUCAGCCUCAGUUUCUCCCUCCUUAACGUGGGAAGAAAAGUAAUUCUGUAGUUAAUGUGGAGACUUUCUGAGAGGAAUAGAAAAGACAGUUGGUGCAGGCAUGUGGCUGGCACAUGGGAGAACUCAAUAGUGAGCAGCAGGUAUCUGCCCGGGGCAGGAGUGCUUCCUCAUGCCCGGGAUGGCUUUCCUUCUUUCACCCCAGCCUCCCGCCCAGCCUAUGCCCUACGCAGCAGAGUGCAGAGGAUGUUCCCAAAGCCUCCAUAGGAUGGCGCCGUGCUUCUCCUAGUGCUGCCUCCUCAACUCAGUCCCAAAUCCAGACAGCUGGGUUGGUGCCCUCGGCUCGCAGGUCACAGGCUCUGAUGCACUCUGUCUCCACCUGUGCAGUCCUCUUCCUACUUCACAUCCCCUCCUCUCUUCCUGUGUCUGCUUGGGCACCCCGUCCCUCCACCCCAGACCUGUAGAGACAGAGCUGGGAUGUCCUUACGUUGGCCUCUCAAGGUCCCUUAAUAUAGCCUCCCAUAACCCUGACUCACAACCGCCACCUUUUGGUUCCUCCUACUCCAUGGCAUGCUGCUGUGGAGGCCAAGUCCCCAGCACUGCGUUCCCCAGGCAAUGCUGAAGAAAAGGCCAGGGCUGCUCAUCAAGGAAGGUGUUGUCAUUAGGGCAGCCGUGGUUUUCCUAGGCAGCCAGACUUACCAUGGGCAUGUAGAGAAAAAGCACCAAGAUCUUUGUAAAAUUGACUUCCAUUUUGUGUUAAAAGGCUUGUUAUACUUUUUUCAUGUCAAGAUCUUGUAUCAACACGGCCCAUUGGUCAAAUCUGAGGAAUUAUUGUGGGUAAAAUACGAUUAGCCAAAUGGUAGACUUUGUUUGAGUUUCCCUAUCUUUCCACUCACUCCCUUUUUCUGUUCCAGGAUCCAGACCAGGAGCCUACAUUUCACUAACUUGUCAGGACUCCCGUCUCUCCUCCAGCCUGCGACAGCUCCUCCGUCUUCUUUUGUCUUUUCUAACCUUGAUACUUUUGACGAGUACUGGCCAGCUGUUUCGCAGGAUUUUCCUCCAGCUGAGUUGGCUUGAGGUUUUCUCUGAUUGGAUCACAGUUACCGGUUUUCGGAGGAACAGCACAGAGGUGAACGGUCUCACUUAUCACUCCACAUCAAAGCAGGCAUGACACCCACGUGACUCAUUCCUAGGAGGCUGACCUUCACCUUUUGGUCUGGGCGACAUCUGCCAGGUUUUUCCACUGUCUAGUGACUAUUUUUUUCUUUUCCUUUUUUUAUGUUUGUGAAAGUCCUGCCCACACUCAAGGGGCGGGAAAUGAAACUACACCCCCUGGUGUAAUUUGUGAGGUACAUUAAAACCACCCUAGUAAUAGGAAAUGCUCACAUUAUGCUUUUGGUCAUUGUUAUUGAGCUAGUUAUGAGGCUUCUUUUUCCCUCUGUGGGAAGAUGACAUUUUCACCCGUAAUACCUUGUCACCCGUACCACUUUGGCAGUCUCAGUGAAGAUACCUGCACCCUCUGGGUGAGGGGCUUCUGACUAGUGCCAUGGAUGCUUGCUCUACAGAGACCAGAGAAGACUCCAGUUAGGGAGAGCGGACUCGCUACGCUCAGGUGCCGCCCCUCUGUCUCCCAGCCUCUCUAAAAUGACAAGAAAGGGACAAAAGCCUUAUUAACUUAUAGAGUGAAAGACAGCAGGGAUAACCAAGGGUAAAGCAUCACAACACAUUUUGUAAGUGCCUCAUCUGAGCAGAUCCUGACCAGGAGUGUCCCCUCUCCUGCCACCCACUGGAAGGUGCAAGCAGACGGAGGUGGACAAAGCCCUGGGCUCAUGGCAGGGCCCCUGCAGUAUCUGCCUGGAGGACCUCAGGCACCACAGUUCCCUCUCCCAUUCUGUAUGCCCUGUGGCUACUCUGGACACAGUCCCCAUAGGAGGUGGUAGUUGACUGGGGAUGCCAUAACAAAGUGCCACACACUAGGUGACUUAGAACAAUAGCAAUGGAGUGUUUUACAGUUCUGGAGGCCAGAAAUCCAAGAUCCAGGUGUUGGCAGGGCCCCACUCCCCGUGAAGGCACCAGGACUCUCUCUGCCCAAGGCCUCUCUCCUACCUUCUGUUAGUUCCUUGGCUUGUGGCAGCAGAGCUCCAAUCCUUACAUGGCAUUCUCUACGUGUACGAAUGCAUCUAUGUCCAAAUUUCCCCUUUACAUAAGGAUAUGAAUCAUACUGGAUUGGGGCCCACCCUUGCAAUCCUAUCUUAAAUAAUUACCUUUGUAACAGCUCUAUCUCCAGAUCUACACACACACUCGGAGGGACUUGGGGGUUAGGAUUUCAACCUGUGAAUUUUGGAGGGAACGUAAUUCAACCUAUAACUAGGUGGGAUGUUUACUUGCUGAAGGAACAGACAGUCCCACUAGGCUGGGAAUGGUAGACCCAGAGAGGGCUGGAGGGGAGCUUUGGGGCUAAAAAGACAGAUUACAUGCAAGCCAGCCUCCUGAACCUGGGACCCUCAGCUCUUCUUCCCACUCUGCUUCCACAGGUCUACCCUGCCCUCACCUGGGGAGAAGUGUGGAGGACUCCUCCUUGGAGAAAGUGAAAAACUCCCAGAGAAAACAUUGGCAGGAAUUGGCAUUGGAUGGGUCCUGGCUUGAGACUAGCUCCCAUUGCAUCAGUCUGCAAGCCCUCUGCUAUUUCUACCUCCCCACCCAAACUCCAAUCCACACUUACUUUAAUGUCCCAUUCUGCAAUGUGAGUGGGCAGCGGAAGGUCACCAGAAGCUGUAGAGAAAGUCUUUACAUGAAAGACAGACACUAAGGGGUAAAAUCGCAAAGCAGGUAUGCAAAAGAAACAAAAAU